rnacentral:rRNA from 1 species
UACGUAGGCAGCGAGCGUUGUUCGGAGUUACUGGGCGUAAAGAGUGUGUAGGUGGUUUUCUAAGUUUGGUGUGAAAUCUCCCGGCUCAACUGGGAGGGUGCGCCGAAUACUGGAAGGCUUGAGUAUGGGAGAGGAAAGCGGAAUUCCUGGUGUAGCGGUGAAAUGCGUAGAUAUCAGGAGGAACACCUGCGGUGUAGACGGCUUUCUGGACCAUCACUGACACUGAGACACGAAAGCGUGGGGAGCAAACAG